rnacentral:rRNA from 1 species
UACGUAGGUGGCGAGCGUUGUCCGGAUUUAUUGGGUUUAAAGGGUGCGUAGGCGGCCCUGUAAGUCAGUGCUGAAAUAUCCCGGCUUAACUGGGAGGGUGGCAUUGAUACUGUGGGGCUAGAGUACAGAUGAGGUAGGCGGAAUUGACGGUGUAGCGGUGAAAUGCUUAGAUAUCGUCAAGAACACCUAUAGCGAAGGCAGCUUACUAGGCUGUAACUGACGCUGAGGCACGAAAGCGUGGGGAGCGAACAGG